rnacentral:rRNA from 1 species
AAUGAACGUUGGCGGCGUGGAUUAGGCAUGCAAGUCGCGCGGACCAGCAAUGGUUAGCGGCGAAAGGGAGAGUAACGCGUGGGUUAUCUGCCUCUUGGGCCAGGAUAGCUGCGGGAAACUGCAGGUAAUACUGGCUAAUGUCUUCGGACCAAAGGUGUGAUUCCGCCGGGAGAUGAGCCCGCGUCCUAUUAGCUAGUUGGUGAGGUAAUGGCUCACCAAGGCUUAGAUGGGUAGGGGGUGUGCGAGCACGACCCCCCUCACUGGGACUGAGACACUGCCCAGACACCUACGGGUGGCUGCAGUCGAGGAUCUUCGGCAAUGGGCGAAAGCCUGACCGAGCGACGCCGCGUGUGGGAUGAAGGCCUUCGGGUUGUAAACCACUGUCGUAGAGGAGGAAAUUCUGGGGGGUUCUCCCCUCAGUUUGACCUACUCUAGGAGGAAGUCAGGGCUAAGUUCGUGCCAGCCGCCGCGGUAA